rnacentral:rRNA from 1 species
UGCUGCCUACGGGGCGCAGCAGUGAGGAAUAUUGGUCAAUGGGCUUACGCCUGAACCAGCCAAGUCGCGUGAGGGAAGACUGCCCUAUGGGUUGUAAACCUCUUUUGUCGGGGAGCAAUUGGCGCUACGUGUAGCGUUAUCGAGAGUACCUGAAGAAAAAGCAUCGGCUACCUCCGUGCCAGCAGCCGCGGUAAUACGGAGGAUGCGAGCGUUAUCCGGAUUUAUUGGGUU